rnacentral:rRNA from 1 species
AUGCAGGAGGAGGAUCAGGAAGUUGAGGAGGCCCAUAUUGCGGCCCUCGAGGAGGCCACAAGGAGGGCCAUCAAGGAGUCUGAGUUCGAGGAGCUCGUCAUGUGGACUGGCCUUGCAUCGGCCGAACCGGCAGCCGGAAUGCAGGCGAAUGCGCCCCCACCGCCACUAGCCUCGCCUGCACGCGAGCCCGUGGAGGAGGGGCAAUCAUGGUCGUGGAUGAACACGGUGCCGGUGUAUGUAUCGUGCACGCCCGUGUGGCUGGGCGUGAUCGACGAGGAGGCCGAGCGACACGCGUUGGAGGCCGAGCUGCAGGAGCAGGAGGCGGCGCACCAGGACGGGGCACAGGGUAAAAGAGAAAACACCACUAGCCUCCAUGACAUGAAAGCUGAAAGGCUACUCACUCACCAUUGCUGCGGACUCCUUGUAUGCGCCUCUCUUUUCGACAGGCCCCGUCCCCUUUUGCAGUUUGCCAUCCAUUCUCAUAUGCUUUGCCUCUCUUUUUCCGUCCGUCCUCAGGUUAACUGA